GAUGAAGAACGCAGCGAAAUGCGAUAAGUAAUGUGAAUUGCAGAAUUCAGUGAAUCAUCGAAUCUUUGAACGCACUUUGCACCCUUUGGUAUUCCGAAGGGUAUGCUCGUUUGAGUGUCAUUGUACUCUCACACUUCUAAUUCCUUUCGGGAUUGGGAGCGGUGGACUUGGGUGUUGCUGCUUUAGUUGUGGCUCACCUCAAAUAAGUUAGUGCAACUCUUGGUUGGACAUAGUACGGCGUGAUAAGUGUCUUCGCCGGCGCCUCUGUAAGGAGGGUGGCCGAUCGGGAGCUCCGUGCUUCAAACCGUCUUCGGACAAUCUUUGACAACUUGACCUCAAAUCGAGUAGGACUACCCGCUGAACUUAAGCAUAUCAAUAAGCGGAGGA
rnacentral:misc_RNA from 1 species